UCUGACANCCAUCCCGCGUGAUGANGACGGCCCUACGGGUCUUAAACUUCUUUUAUAGGGGGAUAAAGUCNCAUACGUGUAUGUGAUUGUGGGUACCCUAUGAAUAAGCAUCGGCUAACUCCGUG
rnacentral:rRNA from 1 species